rnacentral:rRNA from 1 species
AUGGACGCCGAGGCCGCCGCCGCCGCCGCCGUGGCGGCUACACCUCCGGCGCCCUCCUCCCAACCUCUGGGCUCCAUCCCGCAGCCUCCUCCUCCACCUCCUCCUCACUCCCCUGUGGUACACACGCCUCUCCCUCUCCAGACCGCGCCGUCAGUCGCCGGCUUCCCUUCUGCGGCCUAUAUCCAUGCGAUGCGCGUUGAGAGUGCCCACAUCAACCUCGGCGUCCGCCUCGAUAUGGAAGGGGCCAACUACUCGACUUGGCGUGGCCUCAUGCUCGAGGUCAUUGACCAGUACGAUGUGGCGGCUUGGAUCGCGCCGGACUUCACCAACCGCGCCGGCGAUGUGGCAGAAUCCACGACGGCCGAGCUGUGGUCCUCCAUCGAGUCCUUGUUCGUCAACAAUAGGCGCUCUCGGCGCUUCCAGCUCACGGCGAAGCUCUUCGCCGUCAAGCAAGGUGACGCACCGGUCUCCUCUUUCUGCGCGCGCCUUAAGGCCAUGGCGGACGGGCUGAGGAACGCCGGAAAGGUGCUGGAUGAUGAUGAACUCGUUGUUCAGCUCCUUUGCGGCGUCAACAAGGACCGUCAUGAGAUGACUGCAAAAAUCAUCGAGAAAUCUCAAACUCCCAUUCCCUUUGAUGUUGCAGUUGGUAUGCUCCUCCAGGACGAGAUCGACGCUGACUUCUCCCCCUCCGACGUCUCCCACACCGCCCUCGCCGUCCAGAAGCACCCACCUGCCCCUGCCUCCUCCUCUGGCGGGCAAGCCAGGCCUCCUGUGCUCGGGCAGGGCGGCCCCAAGCCUGGCACUCCUUUGCCAAACUAG